AAAUGAAACUGAGUUGUUCCCCUUAGUGUUAUUGCCGCCGUUUGUGUGUGUUUGUGACUGACACACAGUCACAGAAAAGAUUUUUGCUCCAUGUAAGUGUUUCUGCUAGACUCUACGUAUCUUUCUCUUGAUGCCACACCAAAUGCAAACAAAAUGGAGACCACUAUUUCAAACGAAGGGAGAAGUUUGAGCAACUUCUUUAAAAUGCACAACCAGAUGUUCAAAGAUGCUGAAGACCAUAAUAAAAUAGGUUAAAUGAACUCCUUGUAGAAAGGGACAAGGGAUAAAAGUCUUAAGGUA